AUGAACGCUGGCGGCGUGCCUAAUACAUGCAAGUCGAGCGCACAGACGAGGAGCUUGCUCCUCUGACGUUAGCGGCGGACGGGUGAGUAACACGUGGUUAACCUACCUAUAAGACUGGGAUAACUCCGGGAAACCGGAGCUAAUACCGGAUAAUAUAUUGAACCGCAUGGUUCAAUAGUGAAAGACGGUUUUGCUGUCACUUAUAGAUGGAUCCUCGCCGCAUUAGCUAGUUGGUAAGGUAACGGCUUACCAAGGCAACGAUGCGUAGCCGACCUGAGAGGGUGAUCGGCCACACUGGAACUGAGACACGGUCCAGACUCCUACGGGAGGCAGCAGUAGGGAAUCUUCCGCAAUGGGCGAAAGCCUGACGGAGCAACGCCGCGUGAGUGAUGAAGGUCUUCGGAUCGUAAAACUCUGUUAUUAGGGAAGAACAAAUGUGUAAGUAACUAUGCACGUCUUGACGGUACCUAAUCAGAAAGCCACGGCUAACUACGUG
rnacentral:rRNA from 1 species